GCGAUGGCAGCGCUAUCCUUUUUGUUUUUUGGGAACUAUGUUCCUGAAAAACAAAAAGAUAAUAGCGGACAGCGCGGCCCGCU
rnacentral:sRNA from 1 species